rnacentral:rRNA from 1 species
AUUGAACGCUGGCGGCAUGCCUUACACAUGCAAGUCGAACGGUAACAGGUCUUCGGAUGCUGACGAGUGGCGAACGGGUGAGUAAUACAUCGGAACGUGCCUAGUAGUGGGGGAUAACUACUCGAAAGAGUGGCUAAUACCGCAUGAGAUCUACGGAUGAAAGCAGGGGAGCGCACGACCUUGUGCUACUAGAGCGGCCGAUGGCAGAUUAGGGAGUUGGUGGGAUAAAAGCUUACCAAGCCGACGAUCUGUAGCUGGACUGAGAGGACGAUCAGCCACACUGGGACUGAGACACGGCCCAGACUCCUACGGGAGGCAGCAGUGGGGAAUUUUGGACAAUGGGCGCAAGCCUGAUCCAGCAAUGCCGCGUGCAGGAUGAAGGCCUUCGGGUUGUAAACUGCUUUUGUACGGAACGAAAAGCCCUGGGUUAAUACCCUGGGGUCAUGACGGUACCGUAAGAAUAAGCACCGGCUAACUACGUGCCAGCCGCCGCGGUAAAAC